rnacentral:rRNA from 1 species
UGCAAGUCGAACGAGAAGCCGGGCUUCGGCCCGGGGGACAGUGGCGCACGGGUGAGUAACGCGUGGGAACCUGCCCAUGAGUGGGGAACAACAGCUGGAAACGGCUGCUAAUUCCGCAUACGCCCUACGGGGGAAAGGCUUCGGCCGCUCAUGGAUGGGCCCGCGUCCGAUUAGCUUGUUGGCGGGGUAACGGCCCACCAAGGCGACGAUCGGUAGCUGGUCUGAGAGGACGAUCAGCCACACUGGGACUGAGACACGGCCCACACUCCUACGGGAGGCAGCAGUGGGGAAUAUUGGACAAUGGGCGAAAGCCUGAUCCAGCCAUGCCGCGUGAGUGAUGAAGGCCCUAGGGUUGUAAAGCUCUUUCGGCGGGGAAGAUAAUGACGGUACCCGCAAAAGAAGCCCCGGCUAACUCCGUGCCAGCAGCCGCGGUAAUACGGAGGGGGCUAGCGUUGCUCGGAAUCACUGGGCGUAAAGCGAACGCAGGCGGCCGUUCAAGUCAGGGGUGAAAUCCCGGGGCUCAACCCCGGAACUGCCCUUGAAACUGGACGGCUAGAGGCCGGGAGAGGAGAGUGGAAUUCCCAGUGGAGAGGUGAAAUUCGCAUAUAUUGGGAAGAACACCGGUGGCGAAAGCGACUCUCUGGAACGGUUCUGACGCUGAGGUUCGAAAGCGUGGGGAGCAAACAGGAUUAGAUACCCUGGUAGUCCACGCCGUAAACGAUGGGUGCUAGAUGUCGGAGAGGUUGCCUCUCGGUGUCGCAGCUAACGCGAUAA